rnacentral:rRNA from 1 species
GGUCAGGACGAACGCUGGCGGCGCGCCUAACGACAUGCAAGUCGAACGGACUUCAGGGGCUUGCUCCGUGAAGUUAGUGGCGGACGGGUGAGUAACACGUGAGCAACCUGCCUAUCAGAGGGGGACAACAGUUGGAAACGACUGCUAAUACCGCAUAAGACCACGGGAAGGCAUCUUUUCGGGGCCAAAGAUUUAUCGCUGAUAGAUGGGCUCGCGUCUGAUUAGAUAGUUGGUGAGGUAACGGCCCACCAAGUCGACGAUCAGUAGCCGGACUGAGAGGUUGAACGGCCACAUUGGGACUGAGACACGGCCCAGACUCCUACGGGAGGCAGCAGUGGGGGAUAUUGGACAAUGGGGGGAACCCUGAUCCAGCGACGCCGCGUGAGGGAAGAAGGUUUUCGGAUUGUAAACCUCUGUCGACAGGGAAAAUAGUGAUGGUACCUGUGGAGGAAGCCACGGCUAACUACGUGCCAGCAGCGGC